UAAAAGACUCUUGGCAAUGGAUAUCUUGGCUCUCAUGUCGAUGAAGAACGUAGCAAAAUGCGACACUUGGUGUGAAUUGCAGAAUCCCGUGAACCAUCGAGUCUUUGAAUGCAAGUUGCGCUCGAGGCCAUUAGGUUGAGGGCACGUCUGUUUGGGUGUCAUGU
rnacentral:rRNA from 1 species